CGUGCGGUGACUGUCGAAUGGUAAGACCGGUGGCUCAUAACCCCCAGCAUGUCGGUUCAAAUCCGACCCGCGCAACCA
rnacentral:tRNA from 1 species